UCGAAUUUUCGAGCAGGCUCCUCCUCCUCUGCCCUUUCUCCGAUGGCUUCUAUGUAAAAUCCAAGAACCCUAAUUUCUCGAAUUCGAUUGACAAGGACAGGUUUUGAUGUCUCCCGGAAUUAACAGGGUUAUUUCAGAGAGCCUGCGACAGUAGGUCUAAGUUCAUCUUUCCCUUGGGAUUUUGAAGCUUUGUGUUUCUGUUCUGGUUUAUUUUUGUUUUCCAUGAAAAUUUCAUCUUUCCCUUAGGAUCUUGAAUGUUUGGUUUUUGUGUUGGUGAGAGAGAAAACGCAAGAUAACGAUGUAGAUGACAAAAUUUAGAGAAAAAUUUUAUUUCAUUUGUUUGAAUGGACGUAUGAGUUAGUGAAACUAUUAAGGUCUCAUCCACAAGUUCGUGCGAUUUGAUGCUUGUCGUUGAAGGAACAUGGGUUGUAACGAGCAAUGGCUUUGAAAAUUGGGUUUAACCAAAUCCGGAAGCUGAUUUAUUGCUUCCUAAAUAUCAGCGGAAAAAAGAGGGCACUGUUAGCAUUCCCUUUGACAAGCGCAGGAAAUGGGAAAUAGGUACUGGUAAAAGACAACCACUUUCUGCAUUGAAGAGACAUGAUAUCACUGCGAAUAGUGAUGUUGGCAGCGCAGAGGACUGUGUAAAGCAGAAUUUACAAAAGAUGGAGUGGUGACAUUGCUUAAUGAGAGACCAAAAGCCAGCAGGUCUUUUCUCUAAUUAAGAUGUUUGCAUCAGGCUAAGAUUGGGCAUAUGACAGAUUAUCAAGAGGCUGAAGAUUUAUGUCAAAUGGUUUCACAGUUCUCUUGGGGGUCGUAGUUUGGAAUUCCUGAUUGUGGUGUGUUGUGACUGCACAGAUUUGUUUCGGCCCUUUGGGAGCCUGUGUCUCGGGCAAUGUGACUUCGCUCAUGUUGUCUGGGAAACUUCUUGUUUAGUACUACCGUAAAUGUUUAAUGUAUUCUUCUCUGACAUAUUAUGUAUCCAGUUUCUGGAAGAACAAGCCAUAAACUACAUGUUCUCAGGAAACUGUCUGAUCCAGAAGGGUACCAAAAAGAUAAAUCAUAGGAGAACUCGAGAUCAGUCACAAGCUUAAAGGAGGCAGCUAUGGAACACAAGCACAUGUCAUAACAAAAAA